rnacentral:lncRNA from 1 species
UAUCACUACAAACUAUCUCAGUUAUAUAACAUCUUAUCACUCUUUUAAACAAAAUAGUUCUUCUGAUGGGAUGACUAAUAUUGAAGUAAUAUAUCUCAUUAGUAAUUCAAUAUAAUAUGCUUAAACUAUGUGUAUUAGAUUCAUUUAUCGUAGUUCAUUAAAAAACAUAGUAAAUAGACAUAUAUAUGUCAAUUUUAAAUCAAUAGAUUAUCAGUAUUGUUGGAAGGCUCAUGAACAGAUAUUCGAGCUUCUCUCGAUGCUCUCAAGGAAUAAAAAAGCUUGCAAUAAUAAUAUAUAACAUUAUGAUCAAUUUUAAGAGCAUUUUUCUUAGGAGUUAGAAGAACCAUAUUUCCAAGUUGAUUGUUUUCCUAAAAAACAACUUCACCAACUCUAUUUCAUCCUCAUCAAACUUGUAACCUGAUAUCUUAUUAAACUUAAUCUUGUAUGGAUCAGAAACAAACAUAUCAAGUUUGUUUUUCUAAUGAAGCUCCCAGUGAGAUGUGUGAAGGAAAUUGA